UACGUAGGUGGCAAGCGUUAUCCGGAAUUAUUGGGCGUAAAGCGCGCGUAGGCGGUUUUUUAAGUCUGAUGUGAAAGCCCACGGCUCAACCGUGGAGGGUCAUUGGAAACUGGAAAACUUGAGUGCAGAAGAGGAAAGUGGAAUUCCAUGUGUAGCGGUGAAAUGCGCAGAGAUAUGGAGGAACACCAGUGGCGAAGGCGACUUUCUNGGUCUGUAACUGACGCUGAUGUGCGAAAGCGUGGGGAUCAAACAG
rnacentral:rRNA from 1 species